rnacentral:rRNA from 1 species
CCUACGGGGGGCAGCAGUGAGGAAUAUUGGUCAAUGGACGAGAGUCUGAACCAGCCAAGUAGCGUGAAGGAUGACUGCCCUAUGGGCUGUAAACUUCUUUUAUAUGGGAAUAAAACGUUCCACGUGUGGGAUUUUGUAUGUACCAUAUGUAUAAGGAUCGGCUAACUCCGCUCCAGCAGCCGCGGUAAUACGGUGGAUCCGAGCGUUAUCCGGAUUUAUUGGGUUUAAAGGGAACGUAGGUGGAUUGUUAAGUCAGUUGUGAAAGUUUUCGGCUCAACCGUAAAAGUGCAGUUGAAACUGGCAGUCUUGAGUACAGAAGAGGUGGGCGGAAUUCGUGGUGUAGCGGUGAAAUGCUUAGAUAUCACGAAGAACUCCGAUUGCGAAGGCAGUUCACUGGACUGCAACUGACACUGAGGUUCGAAAGUGUGGGUAUCAAACAGGAUUAGAUACCCGAGUAGUC